GACAGAGGUGCCGAGCGUUAGGCGGAAUCACUGGGCUUAAAGCGUGUGUAGGCGGAUCGUUAAGUACCUUGUGAAAUCCCACGGCUCAACCGUGGAACUGCUUGGUAUACUGGUUGUCUUGAGCCACUCAGGGGCGAGCGGAACAAAUGGUGGAGCGGUGAAAUGCGUAGAUAUCAUUUGGAACGCCAAUGGUGAAAACAGCUCGCUGGGGGUGUGCUGACGCUGAGACACGAAAGCCAGGGGAGCGAACGGG
rnacentral:rRNA from 1 species